UUGUGCUUUUCUGUGUGUUCAUGUGAACGUAGAAGCCCUAACCGAAACCAACACUACGUUGCUGUGUUGUUUUCUUCCAAGGUCGGGCACAGUAAAGGAGACGACUCUGUAUCAAGGCACUACCCAGAGGGAGGAUGUUGGCCUUCUCCUGAUGGGAAAAUGUCUUCUUUCUCAUGGCGUGGCCAGGACUGCACUGACCCUACCAUCCACUCUACCUCUCCGGAAAGGGACUUGACAACCAGUCAAGAUGAAUGUGCAGAGAUAUACCAGCGCUUCUAGCAUUAACUGCCAAUUUGCACUGACGCAGCAAGACUCCCAACAGUCAAUAUCGUUUUACUUGAACAUCAUACUCUCGCCCAACUUUGUUUCACCAACAAAGGUUUAUUCUCCAAAGUAUUUCUAAUUGAUUGUGUAUGAGUUUCAUACUACUGUCA